UCUCUCUCUCUCCCUCUCUCCCUCUCUCCUUCGCCUGAUUGCCGUGUGGGACUGAGCAACUGCUAGAUCCUUGGACUUCCAUUCACAGCUGCUGCUGACUGUUGUUGGGAGUUGGACUGCAGACUCACAGGCGUGAUUUCAAAGUGGAAUUCACACAAAUCCAGGUUGUCUUCACUGUCAACAUGACUGGGCUUGGAAUCACCUGGGAGACACGGCUCUGGGUGUGUCUGUGAGAGUGUUCCAGAGAUGAUUAACGGAGAAGGGGAUGCCCGUCCUGAAUGUGAGCAGCACUGUCCCACAUCCUGGGGUCCUAAAGAGAACAGUAUGGAAAAAUAAUUGUCCAUCUCCCCCUCGGCUGCUCUCUGCCCUGCGCUGAUGUGAGGAGUCUCAGUGCCAUGUUCCUGCCACCGUAAACACGCCCACACCUUCCCACCCUGCUGGACUGUCUAAACAGUGGGUCAAAAUGAAUCUUUCUUUAGCAACUUGCUUUUUAAAAAAAAGAUUUAUUUAUGCAUAUGAGUUCAUGGAGGUCAGACGAGGGGGUUAGAUCUCCUAGAAUUGGGACUAUGGGUGGUUGUGAGCCGCCAUGUUGGUGCUGGGAAUAGAACCCGCGUCUUCUGAAAGAGCAGUCAGUGCUCUUAACCUCUGAGCCCCCGUAAGCUGCCUUUUUUGGCAGGUAUUUUGUUACAACAACAAAUAUUGGGGGUUAUUGGUCUAAAGCUGUGCAUACAAAUGCUGAAUUCUGAACCCCAAGACCUGGUUACUCUCAGACAAGUGAAUCCUCACAUACACCAGCCUUUGUUGUGGAAACCUUGCUCCCCAAUUUAAAGUUAUUGGUUAAAUAAAAGCGGCUACAGCCAAUUAGUGGAGAGAAGAGGUAGGCGGGGCUUCAGCUACCAGGCUGGGGAAGGGUUGCAGGUAGGGUGAGAGAAAGAAAGAGAGAGAGAGGGAGAGGGAGAGAACAAGAGAGAAGGAGAAAGAAGACAGAGAGAGCAGGAUUUCUCCAUUAGACAGGAUAGACCAGGAGCAUGUGGCCGGAGAAAUGUCCCCUGAGGACAGACUGUUGGAGCCCAAACAGCCUGUGCGAGACUCAAACAGCAAGUAACCUGGAGCACGCAGCUAGGAAAUAGCCAUUCUACCAUAGAAAAAUAGUUUAGCGCUAAUCGCCCAGUAAUUGUGCUAAUGCUGAUUAAAUAAAUCAUAGGAUUAUGCGAGGCUGACCAGGUCAUAAAUAAGAACUAACAGAGUUAAUAAAUCUAUUUUACAGCAAC
rnacentral:lncRNA from 1 species